rnacentral:pre_miRNA from 1 species
AAAACAUUCCGAUCGUUGGUCUGCUGAGCAAAUAUCACCCGCUCGGUGGAAGAUCUUCCCUUUGUCGU